rnacentral:rRNA from 1 species
GUCAGCAGCCAUAUCACCCUGCAGCCCAAGACUGGUUGCCCAAGGAAGCUAAGCAGGGUUGAGCCUGGUCAGUACCUGGAUGGGAGACCUCCUGGGAAAACUAGGUUGCUGCUAGAA